rnacentral:rRNA from 1 species
GGCUCAGUAACAAGUAGUCAAUCUGCCCUAAGGACGGGUACAUCCUCGGGAAACUGAGGCUAAUGCCCGAUGCUCCAUCUGUGCUGGAAUGCUUGAUGGGGAAAAUGCGCGGUGAAUUGUAGCCGUUGCGCCUUAGGAUGAGACUGCUCCUGAUUAGGUAGUUGGUGAGGUAACGGCUCACCAAGCCGAUAAUCAGUAGGGGCAAUGGGAGUUGGCGCCCCGAGAAGGGCACUGAGACAAGGGCCCUAGUCCUACGGGAUGCAGCAGGCGCGAAACCU